rfam:Bombyx mori DNA, contig: Bm_scaf293_contig42344, strain: p50T/Dazao, build 2, whole genome shotgun sequence.
UUAACUAAUAUUUGUAUGGAGUUGGAACUUUUGCCCACGUUUGCCGCUAGGGGCGCUGUUUCAACUGCAUAAAAAUUUGAGUUA